rnacentral:rRNA from 1 species
AUUCAGUGAUCAUCGAAUCUUUGAACGCACCUUGCGCUCCUUGGUAUUCCGAGGAGCAUGCCUGUUUGAGUGUUAUUA